UAUUGCACAAUGCGCGAAAGCCUGAUGCAGCAACGCCGCGUGAGCGAUGAAUGCCUUCGUGUCGUAAAGAUCUGUCCUCAAGGAAGAUAAUGACGGUACUUGAGGAGGAAGCCCUGGCUAACUACGUGCCAGCAGCCGCGGUAAUACGUAGGGGGCUAGCGUUAUCCGGAAUUACUGGGCGUAAAGGGUGCGUAGGUGGUUUCUUAAGUCAGAAGUGAAAGGCUACGGCUCAACCGUAGUAAGCCUUUGAAACUGGGGAACUUGAGUGCAGGAGAGGAGAGUGGAAUUCCUAGUGUAGCGGUGAAAUACGUAGAUAUUAGGAGGAACACCAGUUGCGAAGGCGGCUCUCUGGACUGUAACUGACACUGAGGCACGAAAGCGUGGGGAGCAAA
rnacentral:rRNA from 1 species